rnacentral:tRNA from 6 species
GGGGGCAUAGCUCAGCUGGGAGAGCACCUGCUUUGCAAGCAGGGGGGCGUCGGUUCGAUCCCGUCUGCCUCCACCA